GAAACAAGCGCAGUAUGCAACGUGGGUUUGUUUGGGUCAAUGACAACAUGGCGUAAGACAGCGCUGCAGAGAUUUUGUCACUCUGAAGUCUGGUCGUAUUUUGUUUUUUAUGAGAUUGCUAAGGGAAACUUGACUGAAGAAAAUUGCCUUAUAGCAAAUGCAGGGUGAUCAAGCAACUAUUCAUCCUUUGAUGAGUUCAUUCUACAUACCACCAAUUUUACCAGGUGUGUGAGGGCUGACUGGAGGGCAGUGGAGAUGGCAUCCUCUGUGGAUCUGUUGGUUCUGAAAGCAAACUGGUGAGGGUCCAGACUGGCUGAGAUGUUGUUUUUUAUGUGCUGAAGAACCAGUUUCUCAAAGCACUUCAUCAGAAUGGGGGGUCUCAAUGAAAGAGACUGCCAUUAUUGCUUAAUAAAUGACCUCAAGGACCUUGAUUCAUUAGCAAAAUUCUCAUUGGAUUUCAUAUAAUAAUCUUCUUUACAAGAGUUGACUGCUGAAUUAUUCUACUGUUUAAAUUGCAAGUACCAUGUUUGUAUUACUUUGUUUUGUUACAUUUACAGUAUUUGCAUUCAUGAAUUCAUGUCAAGUUCAUGUUGACAGCCAAAUGUGAGAGCAGCUUGUUACAUGAACUGGAUGUUUGAAUAACUAAUUAUAAAGUGAUACUUUACAGUUUGUUUGCCUACCAGCUACAAUCUGUCACUCAUAGAACCUGCAGAAACAUGGUGUCUGGUGCAAGGAUGCUUCAGCAGAAGAGAUGCAGAUGUUUGCUAAGAUGAGGACAUAUACUACAGACCUCUGGAUAAAGAGUGAUGUUCCUAAUCACUCGCAGGAUGGUAGCAACUUUACCUGCACUACCUUUCAGCCAAUGGUGUGGGAAAAGGGCGAGGAGUAAUUAUUCAGGCUGAUCCUAUGAUUGCCCCAGAGAGAAGAUGUAAAUGACCUGAACAUGUUAUUUUUAAUGAAUUACACAAGUGUCUGGCCCCUGGGGGAAAAGAAGACAGAGAGGCCUUAUCAUGCAGUGUGUGACCUAGUAAUUUGUCCUGUUUAACUGCACGAUCGUGCCCUCUUCCUUCGAGAGGAACUCAUCUGAAAGCACACACAAACACACAAUGUGCAAUGAGUCAUACACUGUCACAUUCCUCCACAUGCAUUAUAAAACAAGGGAAAUCUUCUGGUUCAUGUUUCUGCAAAAGUCUGUACCAUAACAAUAGUUUCUUUCACAACACAGCAUCUAAGAAAAACAGAAUGAAAAACAUGGCUGUGUUGACAGCUCUGUGUAAUUCAUAAAUAAGUAUGUAAGAAAGGA